CCACGGCAGAGAUGUUUCCAUCAGGCCUGUGGGACAACAGAGCUAGGAGGCCUAGUGGAGGCCUGAGCCGGGGGUGGGGUGGGGCUGAGAACCAGCCCUCUUAGGUGACAUUUGUUCCCGUUUCUCUCCCAGGAAUGCCAAGGUGUCUCCCCUUGAAGCCUCCGUGGGUUUCAGGCUUCCUGGAGUGGCUUAGUUCGUGGAUGUGUGUAGCCACUGCCAUCUUGAAUCUCUCCUCUAUUCCCUUUUAACACUGACUGAGAAUGUUAAUGAGGUAGCAUGGGUAAAUUGCUUGUUAUCUCACAAUUAUCAUUUAUGUCAACACAAACUUUUAUUUAUUUAUACAAUAUGGCAAGAUAAUUCUUUGUGUUUUUUUCCCCUGUAUUCUAAAAGCUUAGGAAAUACUUUUUCCUCAUCGUUAAGAAUAAUGUUCUCGCUGGUGAGAUGGCUGAGCAGCAGAUGGAGACCAUGAUAGAAAACCCAAACUGAUUGUGUGGUAGCCAGCCCCCGUUGCUACACCCACAGAAUAAUGCCUACACCCAAAGCUCAGGAAACAUCACAGGAGAGGGGCCAGAAAGAAUGUAAGAGACAGAGGACCAGUAAGUCCUCUGUGAAGAAAUUGUGUCUCCUAGAAAUCAUGGAAAAGCUUCAUCCACAAUACCCCAGCAACGUGGCUGCCUAAAGCACUCUUGAAGAGUGCAACACCAGUAGAAAUGGUGAUAUGCAAGAGGAAUGUCUCUCAUGGUACCACCUGUGACAAAGAAGGACAGGCAAUGAAGGAAUGCUGAGAGCGGGAGACACAGUCUGCCUCAGGGAUGAGCUUGCUAACUACUUAGCCACUACUAAGUUGUCGGCCCUAACAUGAUAUAAUACAAGUAACACUAAAUGGACCAUAUCUUCCCUGUACUACAAAACUCAACACUCUCAAGCUUAGAGGAGAACCCAUUACUGCCACGUUAUUGAAAUAUCUACCCACCCAGGGAUGGUGCUGCUCACAGUGGGAAGGGUCCCUCUACUUCAAUUUGUAAUCAGGGAAUGUCCCAAGUCAUGCCCACAGCUCUGAUUAGAGGUAAUUCCUCAGUUGAAGUUAUCUUUCUAGAUAGAUCAAAUUGAUAACUUAUGCUAACUAUAACAGUUGCCAACAAAACCUGUGAAUCUGGAAGUGGACUCUUCCUUAAGUUUGCUCAUUUUAAGAAAAUUGCAAGGGAGGUCACCUUGAUCUUAGAACCCCGCUAGGGAAUGUCCACACCACUGACCCACAGAAACCAUGAAAUGAUGACUGCAUGGUUUAACCUUUCUAAGUUUUUGGUAAGUUUUUUUGAAACAAUAAAUAUCUAGUUGAUUCUAAGUGACUUAAUAUAUUAAAACAAUGCACCAGAAAUCAUGAAAAGUGUGCUUAAUGUAGCUAGAAGAA